UCCUGGCCCUGCGCCACCCGCUGCUCCCCGCCCUCCGCGGCGUCCUCGCCACCGACGCCGUCGUCGGCUUCGCCAUCGACCGCUGCGACAGCGGCGACCUCAACUCCCUCCGACGCGAGUAGAUGUUCUCCGACUCCGUCAUACGGUACGCGCUCAACCAACGCCCUUACGCUACGCACUGCCGUAGGACAAAUUGGCAAGAUUUGAUCCGUGAACUCAUCCGUGAACACCGUCUUCUUCUUCGCGGAGAUGGGGCUGCUGCAGUAUGGUCUGGUGCAGUCCAAGCCCUCCAUGGUCGCCGCCUGCUGUCUAUGCGGCCAGGCUCACCCUGAAGAAGACCCCUCUGUGGACCGACACACUGAAGCACCACACUGGCUUCACUGAAGCACAACUGAUGGACGCGGCCAAGAUCCCUGUGGCCUCGCACUCCAGCGCGCCUGAUAGCAAGCUGAAAGUCGUCUACAAGAAGUACUCGAGCGAGAAGGACGCGGCCAAUAUGUGCAAUUUCAGAAAAUUCUGCUUGUUCUGUAUGCUCCAUUAGUUUGUUCCAAGAACCGCUCAGGAAGCUGUUGGUGAGCCUGGUGAGGUCGUACCGAUGCGCGGAGGAGAGCGUGGACAUGGAGGUGGCGAAGCUGGAGGCCGCGCAGCUGGCAGAGGCCAUCAGGAGGAAGAAGCAGCCGCACGACAGCGACGGCGUCCGGAUCGUGAGCACCAGGAGCAAGCCGCAGCUCGCCGCCACGUUCCGGUGCUAUCAGGAGGAAGAGGACAUGAAGCAGUACAGCAGCAGCCAGUUUGCAAGGAUGCUGAAGACUGCUGUCUGGUACCUCACAUCUCCUGAAGAGCACUUUUCAGAGGUACGCCACGGCACGCAGAUCAACCUCACCCUGCGCACCCGCUGGUGGCUGCACUGCAUCACGCACAGCCGCGAGUGCGACGCCAGGCUCGUCGUGCCCAUGGGGGAACAGGUGAAGUGUCCAGCUAUGCUUCUCACUGACCAGUCACACUGGCAAGUCGAACGCGCAGGGAGAGACGACCCUCGUUUCCACUCUGUACGCUGAUCUUGAUUCGCGACUGGGGUGUGCAGUAUGUCCGCAGGUGCCACGGAUCUGGAGCCUGAUGUUGCUGCUGAAGAGCAGAGCGAUCAAGCUCCCCCAAAGGGACAUCUAGAGGGCUUUACUCAUCAGCACCUAAAUUAUGCCAUGUGUACCGGGGGAGCUAGAUGUAUGAUGUACGGCAACGGGAAUGGGAGCUGGUGAGGAAAGGAAACUGCUGGGACAACCAAAUCGAGUCCCUUCUCUACAUGUUGGUUUUGCUCCCUUGCACAGCAGUAAAUGCCUCUGCAAACAUGAUACUAUAUAUAUGCAUGUCAUAGUCAGCAGUUAGCGUGUGGCAAUGAAGUGAACCAUCAGAUUACAUUUUGCUUUGUCUUGUUGAUAAUGCCAUAUGUCUUGCAAUCAGAUUUC